rnacentral:rRNA from 1 species
CCGCAGUUAAUGCGGAGGAAGGUGGGGAUGACGUCAAGUCCUCAUGGCCCUUAUAUCCAGGGCUACACACGUGCUCCAAUGGGCGGAACAAAGGGUCGCGAACCCGCGAGGGGGAGCUAAUCCCAGAAAACCGUUCUUAGUUCGGAUUGGAGUCUGCAACUCGACUCCAUGAAGUUGGAAUCGCUAGUAAUCGCGGAUCAGAACGCCGCGGUGAAUACGUUCCCGGGCCUUGUACACACCGCCCGUCACACCACGAAAGCUUGUUGUACCAGAAGUCGUUGGGCUAACCCGCAAGGGAGGUAGAUGCCGAAGGUAUGGCAGGUGAUUGGGGUG